CCCUUAGAUGUUCUGGGCCGCACACGCGCUACACUGAAGGAGGCAGCGUGUACUCCUGGAUCGAAAGAUUUGGGUAACCCGCGAAUCUCCUUCGUGCUAGGGAUUGAGGUUUGCAAUUAUCCUUCAUGAACGAGGAAUUCCCAGUAAGUGCAAGUCAUAAGCUUGCACUGACUACGUCCCUGCCCUUUGUACACACCGCCCGUCGCUACUACCGAUUGAAUGAUUUAGUGAGGACUUCGGACUGGGACCGAUGCGGCUUUCGGGCUGCGUCGGUAUUCUGGAAAGAUGUCCAAACUGUNUNAUUUAGNGGAAGUAAAANUCGUANCA
rnacentral:rRNA from 1 species